CUGGAAAGCUGAUCUCGGAGAGGAGAGACCCUCUAAUUCACAGCGUAAAAAUAAAAGGCAGUUUGCGGCAUUGAAGAUAUCAGAAUAAAAGGACGGGUUCAUUCUCUUGCAGGACUUCAAAGAAGAGAGAAAAAGAAGGGAAAGCACACACAGAGGUUUUGAAGGCAGAGCACAGAUACUGUGGAGGAUACGUGCCAGCUCAUGCAAUCAGUCUCUUUUUGAGCUUCAAGUUCAGCCUAUCCUAUAUCUUUUUCACUGAUUUGGUUUUGUGAGUACAUUUGUACAUUACUCAUAUUGUGAGUACAUUUUGUGAGUACAUGAGUACAUUUGGAUAAAAGGACUUUAUCAUAUUUCUAUUUAGAAACAUAUUUAGAUGUUAGAUACUUAGAUGGUCAUUAACUUAUCAAAGGAAGUUAAACAAAAUCCAUUAGUCUGCUUAAUGCAUAAGGGCAUUUCUCAUGCUAAAAUUUUAUCAUGCUGGAUACAUUACAUUUCCAGGAUGUUGUUAUAUUUGUCUCUGCACCUCUUCCAGAAAACUUUUUUUGUACUAAUGUAAUGCUUGCUGCAAAAUAUAAAAGCUCAUUUUCAUUAAAAUAAAUUGUGAAGCGUAAACAAAACAGUAAAA